rnacentral:snRNA from 1 species
AGCUUUGCACAGUGGCAGUAUCGUAGCCAAUGAAAUUUAUCUGAGGCAUGGUUAUUGCUAAUUGAAAACUUUUCUCAACACCCUGCCAUGAUGACUUGCAAUUUAUUUAUUUAUUCAUUUAUU